rnacentral:rRNA from 1 species
CCUACGGGAGGCAGCAGUAAGGAAUAUUGGUCAAUGGGGGCAACCCUGAACCAGCCAUGCCGCGUGCAGGAAGACGGCCCUCUGGGUUGUAAACUGCUUUUACUCGGGAAUAAACCUCAGUACGUGUACUGAGCUGAAUGUACCGAGGGAAUAAGGAUCGGCUAACUCCGUGCCAGCAGCCGCGGUAAU